UCAAACUUGGUCAUUUAGAGGAAGUAAAAGUCGUAACAAGGUUUCCGUAGGUGAACCUGCGGAAGGAUCAUUAACACUGGUGCGAAAGCACCUUAAACUACAAACAAACUCUGUGAUCUUGUGCACGUGGGGGGUUAUGCUGAUCUAAGAGUCGUAGUGGUUGGGGGAUUGUAAACUUUGCAGUCCUGACUUUUAGGUCUAAGGCUGUGAGCCUGAGGCAUGGCGAAUCGACGUGGGUAAAUAACUUACCUCCACUUUUAACCAAUUUUUUAUUUAUUUCUGAUGUGGGAUGCGGUCGAAAGGCGGUUCCACGUAAAACAAACGCACAACUCUCAGCAGUGGAUGUCUCGGCUCUAGCAUCGAUGAAGAACGCAGC
rnacentral:misc_RNA from 1 species